rnacentral:tRNA from 1 species
GGUGAGGUGUCCGAGUGGUUGAAGGAGCACGCCUGGAAAGUGUGUAUACGUUAACAGCGUAUCGAGGGUUCGAAUCCCUCCCUCACCGCCA